rfam:Oryza rufipogon genomic scaffold, chr06
AAUAAGUACAGUUUUGCACUGUUCAUAUACAACGUUUGAUCAUUCGUCUUAUUUAAAAUCUUUUGAUGAUUAAUAUUUUUAUUGUUAUUAGAUGAUAAAACAUGAAUAAUACUUUAUGUGUGAUUAAUUUUUAUAAAUUUUUCAAAUAAGACGGACAGUCAAAUGUUGGACAUGGAUCCCAACGGCUGCACUUAUU